rnacentral:rRNA from 2 species
CGUGCCUAAUACAUGCAAGUCGAACGCUUUUUUCAAUCAUCGUAGCUUGCUACACCGAUUGAAAAUUGAGUGGCGAACGGGUGAGUAACACGUGGGUAACCUGCCCAAAAGAGGGGGAUAACACUUGGAAACAGGUGCUAAUACCGCAUAACCAUGAUGACCGCAUGGUCAUUAUGUAAAAGAUGGUUUCGGCUAUCACUUUUGGAUGGACCCGCGGCGUAUUAACUUGUUGGUGGGGUAACGGCCUACCAAGGUAAUGAUACGUAGCCGAACUGAGAGGUUGAUCGGCCACAUUGGGACUGAGACACGGCCCAAACUCCUACGGGAGGCAGCAGUAGGGAAUCUUCCACAAUGGGCGCAAGCCUGAUGGAGCAACGCCGCGUGAGUGAAGAAGGUCUUCGGAUCGUAAAACUCUGUUGUUAGAGAAGAACAUGCGAGAGAGUAACUGUUCUUGUAUUGACGGUAUCUAACCAGAAAGCCACGGCUAACUACGUGCCAGCAGCCGCGGUAAUACGUAGGUGGCAAGCGUUGUCCGGAUUUAUUGGGCGUAAAGGGAACGCAGGCGGUCCUUUAAGUCUGAUGUGAAAGCCUUC